AAAGGAAGAAACUGAAGGCGCCUUGUCUCGACUCCAGCCAGCUUAGUUCUUUGGAGAAGCAGUGUGGAGUCCUAAAAAAGGAGGCUGAGUCUUACCGUUGAGGUCGGUGCCGGUAGAGAAUGGGAGGGAGUCUGCAGGAGCCAAGCACCCUAAAGAAGAGGAAGAGAGCACGUUGCUGAGAUUUGAACAGCGACCUGAGAGGUCAGACUGGACCCAGGCCUCCUCAAGACAGCUGCUGGAGCCUGUUGCUUUUUCACACCACAGAUACUUCAUGCUGCCUAAUAUUCUACCGAGCCAGCCUAGGGGACUUGGAUCUGUCUCGCCUGGGGCUAAGAGAAUAGUUUCUCUAAGAAGAAAACAGUUCUAAUUCAAAGAUGCUGGAUCUGGCUUCCUUUAAAGCCUGAAGUCGCUGAAGUGGCCAUAGAACUAUGGGGUCCAGAGGACUGCCAGUCUCAGCCAGCCUUUAGGCUGGAGAGAGGCUGUGGGCCUGCUUGGGGACUAAAAUGGAUGAAUAAGAAACCUGUAAGAAAUGUAAACAGAUGGAAUGGCAAGGAGGAGAGCGCUGGAGAUUGUUCAGGAGGAAUUCCACCCGGCUCUGGGGCGUGCGUCCGACAAGCCCCUAGGGGGAGAAAGGAGAAGGGUGAAGGCCGGGCUAGUAGUCGCUGCCCGCUGGGCAGCAUCUGGAGGCCCGUGCGGGAUGCAGGCGAGGGGGAUGGAGCGGCGCCGCUGGAGGAAAUGCCGACAAGCCCAAAGGAAAGCGGAGUGUCCUGUGUGCCACAUGGAACUCGGGGAAAGGAAAUGAUUAAAGCCGUGAGGUUUCCUGGCUCUUCGUGGUGUUUACGGUGGGUUUUGAUUUGGGAAGAGAGCAGGAGAGGUUAUGGCCGGUUGCCAUCUGCCAGCGUCCUCAAUCUGCCUGGGCUACAGAUGACAUAGGGGCGGGUGGGCACGUGCGCUCUGUGUGCACAUUCCGAGUGUGUGCAGGAGCGUGUCUCGGAGUGUCUUGUGUGGUGGCCUACCUGGCAAUACAUGCAUGGUUAAAAAGAAGAGAUCUUCCAGCUUCAAGAGGAGGGGUUUCAGGUUCUUUCAGACAUCUGAGGGGCUGCAUCUUUCUAAAGUGCACACGUUUCUUUUUCAAACACUAUUUAAAAAUUUUUGUAAUGUUUCCAGUCUUUGCAUACUGUAAAUGGACAGGAAUAGGACAGAAACCCCAUCAUUAAACACUUACAUUGAUUUAAAUCAAAUUCCACUAAGUGAAAAUGCUUGUUGAAAUUUGGAAAAUAUUUUUUAAUGUAAUAAUGACAUUUGGACAUUGCAACUAUAGACAAUAAUCAUCAAAUCUGAAAUUAAGAUAAAUUUAAUAAAAGUGAUUUUUAAAUGCA
rnacentral:lncRNA from 1 species